AAAUCAUUUAAAUCUUGCUGUCCCUUGGUUUCCUCAACCAUUAGCAAGAGACAAAAUGUACCUCCUGUGAGUUGACCUAUACAGGCAUCUGUGAUUGCCUUUUUCCUGUUUUAACAAUGGCUGCGCUAACCGAAGUGGUUAAACUUAGGUUUGAGCAUCUCUCGGGAAGACUGUGAGAUGUUAAAUAGCCCUUCCUGAAACCAUCAGGAAGAAAAAUGUGUGUGACAUUGCAUACAGCUGUAGGUGAUAGUAAAAUAGAAGUCUUCAGUGAGAGAACACCCAAAACACAUGAGAAUUUCUUGGCUUUUUGUGCCAUUAUUUACUACAAUGGCUGUAUAUUUCAUAGAAAUAUCAAGGGUUUCAUGGUUGAAACAGGAGAUCCAACAGCACAAUGUUAGAGGCGAAGUAUCUAUGGCUAAUAAUGGCCCAAACACCAAUGGAUCUCAGUUCUUCAUCACCUAUGGCAAACAGCCACAUUUGGACAUGAAAUACACAGUAUUUGGAAAGGUAAUAGAUGGUCUGGAAACUCUAGAUGAAUUGGAGAAGUUGCCAGUAAAUGAGAAGACAUACCGACCUCUUAAUGAUGUGCACAUUAAGGACAUAACCAUUCAUGCCAAUCCAUUUGCUCAAUAGCUAUAAUAGACCUAGACAAAUGCUUGGCAAACUAUUUGCUGGAAUGGAACAUACCUAUUGUGGUUUACCCAGUUUUAAUUAUGUCCAAGAUUGCAUCAUCCUUCUGCUUAUUUACAGCCAAGCUCUUCUAUGAAAUGGUGGUAUCAAGAAGAGCCCAACAGCUUUUACCCCCAUUCUGAGAGCAUGUUCUUUACACCAACUAUUAUCCAAUGUAUUUUUAAAAUUUUAUUAUAAAAAAAA